rnacentral:lncRNA from 1 species
UGAAUGGCAAUGGCGGCUACUAGCGCAGCUACCAUUCGCCGCCAUGCGUCCGUUGACAGGUUGGAAUAGAUGGUGCCAGUGGUAGCAUCCAUCCUUUCACCUGUGUGCGUCGGUGAUGGGGUUUGCGGGUGCGUGGUGAGAGAGGGGGACAGGUGCACGCUAUCAUGAACCAGGCUAAAUUCGUAAUAAUUCGCCCCCCAUGCGCCACAAACCCCACCCAACCUGAAACCCCUUAGUUCCCCAGAUCCAUUUCCACGUCUGAAGGCGGGUUCGUGUGUCGGUUGUGACAGAGCGAGGUGAGCCCGAGCGCGAAGCCCAGCUGGCGCUACAACCUUUGGGUCAAAAGUCAACGAUAGCCGCUGCGGGCCAGGCGCGUGGCCUCGCUGGGUCGCUGGUUGCACCCAGCAUGGCGUUUCGCAAGCUUAACUGGUUUUGGUUGCAAGUUCCUUCGCGGCGAUGCUCCAAUUGCGCCCUAUGCACUGGUUGCAGGUCGUCGGCGGUGUUCCGGCGUCAUGCUUCCGUGGCAAAAUGUAUGAUGCGCUCCGGUCAUCGAGUCGCAUGUGCCGGAGGGACCAAUAGCAGGCAGCGCAGCUUAGAAUUGCAAUCGGUGAGUAUAUGUAGACAGCCACUACUAACGUGUAUCAUUAGCGACCAGUCAUACUUGUGGCGCGUCGGCACGCCGCACGCGUGCCCGCCGUCACUCACCCCAAAGGGGUCUGUUCCCGACACUCGCGCCAGCCGUACCGAUGCGCCAGCAUUUCGCGCAACCAUACCAUCUGACGGAGCGCUAUGCGCAAUCAUCGCUUACCGAAUGCCGGCUCAGGUUCCUAUCCGCAACUGCUCCAUCCCCACUAAGUUACGGUACUCACUUCCCCUCCUUCACACCCUUUCCUGCCUGCCUCCACCCUCAGCGAAACUUCUUGGCCGGCCAGUGCCCGCCCGCCUUCAGCACCGCCGGCAACGUGUGUGCCAGCAUCCGCUUCAUACAGUCACGCACAAACUGUGGCGUGAUGACCUUCUGAACCACCUUCUCCAUCUCGUCCAGGUAGGGCUGCAGGGGGUCCUCGCCAGCCUCGGUGGGCCGCCGUGCGUUGCAGAACUGCCGCAUGACGAGGGCAACGGCCGCGUGCGACUGCUCCACUGGGCAGUGCAUGUCGCCGCUGUACGUGGGAAGCUUCAUGAAAUUGGCCUUAGUGACGCCCACACCACGGAAGUCAGCAAUCUCGCCGUUGCCGUGGCAUGCCGGGUUGUCCCAUGACACGUAGGGCUUGAUAGGGGCCACGGGCGGGGGUGGCGGCGGCUUCCUCUUACCCCGCCGGCCCUGCUUCUGCGCGGCCUUCACCGCCGCGGUUUGCUUUGCAGCCAGCCUUGCAGCCUUCUCCCGGAACGCGCCCAGCAUGCGCCCUAUGUACUUAACAAACUCCGCCUUCGUGAUGAACCUUGCAUCCUUCCCCGCCAGGGUCUGCGGUGGUGACAGGCAGUGGCGGGCGGCAGCUUGAGCAUGGCGCGUGGAGGACACAACCGGCGGCGCUUCCCACCCUCUGUGGCAGCGCGAUACAGCCCCCUGAACCGGGAGCCGCUAAACGCACGGGGGACAGAUGACCGGCGGCCCGUGCUGUGGAGGCUGCAGUGUGGGUGCUUUGUCUACAAGGCACGGCACACAGUGGCUAACAGUAUUCGGCGAUGUGCCCCGCACGCACCCAGCUGCUUCAACUGCACCUAUCACACCUCCGGCCGAGGUGCAAGUGAGGCCGCACAGCGCGCGUUUCGCAUGCUGAUUGACCUUGCGCGGCGGCUGGGGGAGGCGUGUACGGUGGUGUGGGAGGCGCGGGUGGUUGAGGGGUGUGGCCCCUUCGACUUUUGGCUGUGGGAGUGGGGUGUGGUGGUUGAAGUGGAUGGCAUGCAGCACACGGAUACCCCGCAUCACGGCACGGAAGCGCAAGCACAGUGGCUGGUGGAUCGGUGGAAGGAAGCAGCUGCUGUUCGCAAGCGGCUGCAUGUGGCGCGGUUGCAUGUGAUGGACAUGGUGUGCUGGGAGGCCGUGGUUGCGCGUGCACUGUGUGCUGCUCGUAACGGCAUUCCGCCGUGCGUGCACUACAGCGACUACUACCUGCGGCCUGUGAUUACACAGUCAUGAGCUCCCAACGCACCUGGUACUGUAGCUCGGGUGGCGGCGUGUAGGCCCUGCCUGUGGUGCCGGCAACAGGCUCCCAUCGCACGACGCCGAAGGCAGGGCACACGGUGAUGAUGUACUUGAUGGUGUUGGGUCGUGAUGAUCCGCAGCGGUAGUCCUCAAUGGUGAUGCUCUGCCCGCGCGGGCCUGCAGUCCAGGCGGUGUAGUCGGUUGGGUUGCAGAUGAAGGUCUUUUCGUCGGUCAUGGCGAAACCGUUGAAGAUGGUUAAGUUGAGCCAUGCGUCGCUUUCAAACUCCGCUGUGCCAAUGUCUGGUGGCAAGGGAAAGGCGCCAUCGCUGACACCGUACUCCCUUUCAGCCUCCACGGCUGAGACCAUCUUCACGCCUGGAGCAUUGGGGUUGACAAGCUUGCGCAACCACGCUGCUGAGCGGUCCAGCCGGUCACCCCACUGCUCGGGGCUGAGGAAGGGGCGGUGCUCCACCUUUAAGUUCUUUUGGAGGGUUGGAUCGUAGUGUUGCAUGGAGCGCCACAGGGAUUUGAAAGUGAUCUUGUGGGAUUUGAGAACGUCUUGAAAGGGCGCGUCGUGCUCGUACUUGGCGGCAGAGUCAUAGUGGACGCUCUUGACGUGGUCGACCAGGGUUUUCAGGAUGGGGUCCGACACCGUGCGCGGCCGGCCUGGGCGUGGCUUGGGCUCUGUCCCGCCAGUGUGCACGUAGCGCACGUACCACUUCUUAAUCUGCUCUGCCAUAUGCUUGGGUGAUGCCUCCCAUGGUGUGUAAUCAACUGGCUGCGGGAAGAUCUCUGGGCAUGCCUCGCGUGCCUUGAACUCCGCCACGGCAAUGGGGCCCCAGCGCUGAGGUGUGGUGCCACGUGUGGUAAGCCCAGAACGGUAACAGGCCUGAAUGGCAAUGGCGGCUACUAGCGCAGCUACCAUUCGCCGCCAUGCGUCCGUUGACAGGUUGGAAUAGAUGGUGCCAGUGGUAGCAUCCAUCCUUUCACCUGUGUGCGUCGGUGAUGGGGUUUGCGGGUGCGUGGUGAGAGAGGGGGACAGGUGCACGCUAUCAUGAACCAGGCUAAAUUCGUAAUAAUUCGCCCCCCAUGCGCCACAAACCCCACCCAACCUGAAACCCCUUAGUUCCCCAGAUCCAUUUCCACGUCACUGUGUCGCACAAUUCCGCCGACCUUUGCGCACCCCAGCAUAUGUGUGCCCGCGGUUUCCAAUGCUCUAUUGAAUGCACCAAAAGCCAGCCCAGGCCCUGCGUCCUAGGGCCCAAACGAGCUCCUCCGUACAAUGUUUGCUCGCACACUCCGGCGCACGCGAUUAGGUGUCGCGCGCUACUGUAUGGUAGCCCUUGUGUCGCACAAGUGGUUGGAGCGUGUUUGGGGUGAGUUGGCGCGGCAGGGUGGUGUCGCGCCCAUGCUGCCCCGCUUGCGGGGCUUGUUCCCGGCCGGUCUCUGAUGGCUAUGGUGUAGUCCUAUGAAUUAUCUGUGCGCGGGUUGGUGCCCGGCGAAUUUCUGUUGCAUGGGGCCUGCGCGCAUGGCGUGCCCCUCGGGGGGUAAUCGCGCUCGGAUCACAUAAGGGCCGCUCGAACUAAAAUUUGCCACUCAUACAAUAAUUACAGCUACUGUAUGUCUACUCGCCCAUGUGUAGCACGCUUGGGCGCUAGCUCGCAUUUGAGAGAACCAACACCCUUGCUCCCCCCAUUUUCGUCAAAACCAACAUUCUGCAAAUUGAUACUGUAGUUCUCACUCUGAGUAGCAGCUACGGCUGUCGUUCCCGUGGUUGAGAGCCCUUACCGUUGUGGUUCUACUGUGGAGGCAGCGGGCGUAGCGACCGGGCGCAAGCAGCCGAGCGGGCGGUGGAGAACCAGUCGCAAAAGUCUGCGGAAUUGUGGGAUCCAGUGAAGGCGGGUUCGUGUGUCGGUUGUGACAGAGCGAGGUGAGCCCGAGCGCGAAGCCCAGCUGGCGCUACAACCUUUGGGUCAAAAGUCAACGAUAGCCGCUGCGGGCCAGGCGCGUGGCCUCGCUGGGUCGCUGGUUGCACCCAGCAUGGCGUUUCGCAAGCUUAACUGGUUUUGGUUGCAAGUUCCUUCGCGGCGAUGCUCCAAUUGCGCCCUAUGCACUGGUUGCAGGUCGUCGGCGGUGUUCCGGCGUCAUGCUUCCGUGGCAAAAUGUAUGAUGCGCUCCGGUC